AUGAACGCUGGCGGCGUGCCUAAUACAUGCCAGUCGAGCGAACGGACGAGAAGCUUGCUUCUCUGAUGUUAGCGGCGGACGGGUGAGUAACACGUGGAUAACCUACCUAUAAGACUGGGAUAACUUCGGGAAACCGGAGCUAAUACCGGAUAAUAUUUUGAACCGCAUGGUUCAAAAGUGAAAGACGGUCUUGCUGUCACUUAUAGAUGGAUCCGCGCUGCAUUAGCUAGUUGGUAAGGUAACGGCUUACCAAGGCAACGAUGCAUAGCCGACCUGAGAGGGUGAUCGGCCACACUGGAACUGAGACACGGUCCAGACUCCUACGGGAGGCAGCAGUAGGGAAUCUUCCGCAAUGGGCGAAAGCCUGACGGAGCAACGCCGCGUGAGUGAUGAAGGUCUUCGGAUCGUAAAACUCUGUUAUUAGGGAAGAACAUAUGUGUAAGUAACUGUGCACAUCUGGACGGUACCUAAUCAGAAAGCCACGGCUAACUACGU
rnacentral:rRNA from 1 species